CACUAUGGUGACUUGUAAGCAACUCACUGUACUUUAGUAUUAGACCAUCUGAGUUUCUAACAUAGUAUCGAAAGAUUACUGGGUGUAGUCAAGUACUUAUCAAGUCGAUGUGUGAGUCAAGAUGGAAUUGAUUCCUUUGAAUUAGUAGGAGAUAUACAUCAGUGUAUUUCAAUUCAGUAAAAUCUUGGCCAGGAUAAUCCAUGAGAUAGAUUUGAAAG
rnacentral:lncRNA from 1 species